rnacentral:rRNA from 1 species
UACAGGGGGGGCAAGCGUUGUUCGGAAUUACUGGGCGUAAAGGGUUCGUAGGUGGCUUACUAAGUCAGACGUGAAAUCCCUCAGCUUAACUGGGGAACUGCGUCUGAUACUGGAAAGCUUGAGUGCAGGAGAGGAACGCGGAAUUCCAGGUGUAGCGGUGAAAUGCGUAGAUAUCUGGAGGAACACCGGUGGCGAAGGCGGCAUCCUGGACCGGCAUUGACGCUGAGGCGCGAAAGCCAGGGGAGCAAACGGG